UUAUGGCUCAGGAUGAACGCUAGCUACAGGCUUAACACAUGCAAGUCGCGGGGCAGCAUGGAGGUUGCUUGCAAUCUCUGAUGGCGACCGGCGCGCGGGUGAGUAACGCGUAUCCAACCUGGCCCUUAGUAGGGGAUAGCCCGGCGAAAGUCGGAUUAAUACCCUAUGUUCUUCAUGGAUGGCAUCUGAUACGAAGCAAAGGCUUGCCGCUAAGGGAUGGGGAUGCGUCUGAUUAGCUUGUCGGCGGGUAACGGCCCACCGAGGCUACGAUCAGUAGGGGUUCUGAGAGGAAGGUCCCCCACAUUGGUACUGAGACACGGACCAAACUCCUACGGGAGGCAGCAGUGAGGAGUAUUGGUCAAUGGGCGAGAGCCUGAACCAGCCAAGUAGCGUGCCAGGAUGACUGCCCUAUGGGUUGUAAACUGCUUUUAUGCGGGAAUAAAGUCAGGUACGUGUACCUGUUUGUAUGUACCGCAUGAAUAAGGACCGGCUAAUUCCGUGCCAGCCGCCGC
rnacentral:rRNA from 1 species